GACGAACGCUGGCGGCGUGCUUAACACAUGCAAGUCGAACGGAAAGGCCCUGCUUUUGUGGGGUGCUCGAGUGGCGAACGGGUGAGUAACACGUGAGUAACCUGCCCUUGACUUUGGGAUAACUUCAGGAAACUGGGGCUAAUACCGGAUAGGAGCUCCUGCUGCAUGGUGGGGGUUGGAAAGUUUCGGCGGUUGGGGAUGGACUCGCGGCUUAUCAGCUUGUUGGUGGGGUAGUGGCUUACCAAGGCUUUGACGGGUAGCCGGCCUGAGAGGGUGACCGGCACAGCUGGGAGGGGGAGAGAGCGCAGAGGCGUAGGGAAGGGGGGAGUGGGAAUGAGGGAACAUGGGGGGGGAGCCGGGGGCGGAAGCGGCGGGGGGGGGAUGGCGGCCUUGGGGUUUAACACGGCGUGCGCAGGUGGCGAAGGGGGGGUGAGGGUAAUGGAAAAGAACACAGCGGCAAACAACGGGCCAGCAGCGGCAGUAAUAAAGAGAAGAGCACACGUUAAGUC
rnacentral:rRNA from 1 species